rnacentral:lncRNA from 1 species
CUUCACAAAACACAGCCCUUUUUAAAGUGUUUCUAAAAUUCCCUAUGGGAAAUAUGAAUGGUGGGAAAACAAUUGGAACCAUUUCCUUGUUUGACCGCUAGGUUUUAUGGGUAUUAUGAUUCAUACUGUAGCACUCUCUAGACCUUUUUAACAGCUUUUUGGGGAGGAGAAGAAGUGCGGAAAUGGGUGGAACUUUGAAUGGAGCUUUGCAGCGAGAGAAGUGCUGUCUGUCAGAUUACAGUGCACCGGUCUGAAAGCUGAGGUAGACUUCCAUGUUUUGAAGGAAGAGGUGGCUGGUCUACUGACAACGGGUUGAUCUACGCAUGUGGUUUUUCCUGUGUGGCCACUGCUCAUGCUCUGAAAAUAUUGGCGCCCGGAGAAGACACGUUUCCUAGAUUUCCCAAAGAAGCAUUUCAGCGUGCUGCAUUGCCUGCAUGGAUAGUAAUGUUAGCAGCAGGAGGUGACAGCGCCAGGAUGUGUAUUAGGGUUGAAUGGCUGGAACCCGAUUACGGAGAUUUACCGGGAUAUACCACCCAAAACCACUCCCUUUUCCUGGGAUAAAUAACUGCGAAAACCCGGUAAAUAAUAAAAAAUAUUUAUAUGAACAGCAUUGCGUGAAAUGGAACAGUUAAAUAACAUGCAAUGUCUAAAUCUGGCUUCUCUAGAGCCUCUGCAUGAUGAAUCAACGCUCAGGGUGGGGACAGACAGCCCAUCUCAGUAUGGAGCGCAGUUCACAAUGCAUGUAGACCUAUCAUCUCAUCAUGGCUCUGUCUCUACAAUAUGCAAGCACCUGUGCUCCGCUGGUCUCUCCUUAACUCUUGGAAUCCCAGGCAGGAAAAGCUCAACUAGAAUAACAUGUAUACAACAUUAUUUUUGUAGCAUUUCCUACACCAAUAGACUAUUUGAAGAGGGACGCAAGCUCUUGUUUGCUGAAUGUUAAAUACAGCAGCCAAUAGAACUCACAGGUAGUUUGAAAGGUUAUGGGUCUGAAUAAAUAACUGCUAUCGCCUACCGUCAUCGCGUGUUUGCUCUUCUUUCAAUCUUUGUGAGGAGAAGUAAAAGCCUUCUGCAUCUAAUUCUAGUCCUAUAUUAUUCAAGGAUGUCAUUAGAAUGAUGAAGAUAAGGACAACAAAACUUUUUAAUUUAACCGUUGAACGCGAGGAAGGAAUGAAGCAACAAUAGAGAGAGAAAGAGGUAAACUAAUAACAUUAGGGGAAAUAUUAUGAAAGGUAUAUAUGUGUCAGCCUACUAAUUAUACAAAUAGGCCCUAUUAAAUUGAAAAAAUGUAAUGAAAUUCUCUAGCCUAUAGGCCUACUUGUAACUGUGUAGGCAGCAUGUGCUGCACCAGAAUUGCAUGUUCUCUUCUGCUUUGUCAUGGUUUGAAUGAUGUGCGUAAUUCCAGUCCAUAUAAUACAGUAUAAAACAGUACAGUACAGUAAUACAGUUCACACUCAAAUAUUAGCCUACUGGAGCUAGUCUAAUCUAUUUACCCAAUGUGUUGUAUUGUAACUAUUUUAUUAUAGUGCAAGUACAUUCAUGACGUCAUAUGAAAAGUGAUUGGGCAAGUUGGUCCGUGUGCAUCCG